rnacentral:rRNA from 1 species
AACCAGACUCCUACGGGAGGCAGCAGUGAGGAAUAUUGGUCAAUGGGCGCGAGCCUGAACCAGCCAAGUCGCGUGAGGGGAGACGGUCCUAUGGAUUGUAAACCUCUUUUGUCGGGGAGCAAAAAGGCCUCGUGAGGUCACAAGUGAGAGUACCCGAAGAAAAAGCAUCGGCUAACUCCGUGCCAGCAGCCGCGGUAAUACGGAGGAUGCGAGCGUUAUCCGGAUUUAUUGGGUUUAAAGGGUGCGCAGGCGGAAGAUAAAACCCGCGGUAAAAGUGGGAGGCUCAACCUCUGCGAGCCGUUGAAACUGGUUUUCUUGAGUGAGCGAGAAGUAUGCGGAAUGCGUGGUGUAGCGGUGAAAUGCAUAGAUAUCACGCAGAACUCCGAUUGCGAAGGCAGCAUACCGGCGCUCAACUGACGCUCAUGCACGAAAGUGUGGGUAUCGAACAGGAUUAGAUACCCCAGUAAAG